UGAACCUUUACUAUAGCUUGACACUGAACAUUGAGCCUUGAUGUGUAGGAUAGGUGGGAGGCUUUGAAGUGUGGACGCCAGUCUGCAUGGAGCCGACCUUGAAAUACCACCCUUUAAUGUUUGAUGUUCUAACGUUGACCCGUGAUCCGGGUUGCGGACAGUGUCUGGUGGGUAGUUUGACUGGGGCGGUCUCCUCCUAAAGAGUAACGGAGGAGCACGAAGGUUGGCUAAUCCUGGUCGGACAUCAGGAGGUUAGUGCAAUGGCAUAAGCCAGCUUGACUGCGAGCGUGACGGCGCGAGCAGGUGCGAAAGCAGGUCAUAGUGAUCCGGUGGUUCUGAAUGGAAGGGCCAUCGCUCAACGGAUAAAAGGUACUCCGGGGAUAACAGGCUGAUACCGCCCAAGAGUUCAUAUCGACGGCGGUGUUUGGCACCUCGAUGUCGGCUCAUCACAUCCUGGGGCUGAAGUAGGUCCCAAGGGUAUGGCUGUUCGCCAUUUAAAGUGGUACGCGAGCUGGGUUUAGAACGUCGUGAGACAGUUCGGUCCCUAUCUGCCGUGGGCGCUGGAGAACUGAGGGGGGCUGCUCCUAGUACGAGAGGACCGGAGUGGACGCAUCACUGGUGUUCGGGUUGUCAUGCCAAUGGCACUGCCCGGUAGCUAAAUGCGGAAGAGAUAAGUGCUGAAAGCAUCUAAGCACGAAACUUGCCCCGAGAUGAGUUCUCCCUGACUCCUUGAGAGUCCUGAAGGAACGUUGAAGACGACGACGUUGAUAGGCCGGGUGUGUAAGCGCAGCGAUGCGUUGAGCUAACCGGUACUAAUGAACCGUGAGGCUUAACCUUACAACGCCGAAGGUGUUU
rnacentral:rRNA from 1 species